rnacentral:rRNA from 1 species
GACGAACGCUGGCGGCGUGCCUAAUACAUGCAAGUUGAGCGCUGAAGGUUGGUACUUGUACCAACUUGGUGAGCAGCGCACGGGUGAGUAACGCGUGUGAAAUCUGCCUUUGAGCGGGGUACAACAUUUGGACACGAAUGCUUAUACCGCAUAAAAACUUUAAACACAAUGUUUAAGUUUGAAAUAUGCAAUUUCAUCACUCAAAGAUGAUCCCUCGUUGUAUUAGCGAGGUGGUGAGGUAAAGGCUCACCAAGGCGAGGAUACAUAGCCGACCUGAGAGGGUGAUCGGCCAGGUUGGGAAGGAGACACGGCCAAAACGCCUCCGGGAGGCAGCAGAAGGGACUAUUCGGCACUGGACGGAAGUAUGACCGAGCAACGCCGAGUGAGUGAAGAAGGAUGUCGGAUCGGAAAAGUCUGUUGGUAGAGAAGAAAGUUGGUGAGAGUGGAAAGAUCAUCAAGUGACGGUAACUACUCAGAAAGGGACGGCUAACUACGUG